rnacentral:lncRNA from 10 species
CACCUAGGGAGUCUGUAGAGCCAGGCUGCUGCCAGAGCCCGUUUAUAGGCAAAGCCCGAAGGCUAGAGUAAAUGUGGUCUGCACAGGUGUAGGAAAGAGUGUGGGAGAGGAGGAGGGGACAAUCUCAUGCCUUUCUUUAUUAAAAACACAUAAAAUAAACCUUAUAAAAUGAAAAAGUUCCAUGGAUAAAAAAGGAUAGUGAGAAUGAAAGACUCAAAGGCACUGGAUGUAGGUGUCUUGACUGAGAUGUUACCCUACCUUUCCAGAAGAUGACCUCGAUGCACUGGGAAUUCAUCUGAGGCAACAGGGAGCUGAGGUGCCUUGGGUCUGUCCUGGGACUCUGAGUGAUUAUUGGAGGGUUGAAUAGUUUUGGAGUGGGCAUCCUACAAAUGCCUGUAAUGUAGGAUCUUGGGUCAUGUCUUGAGUUUGUUAAGAAAGGAAGCUAUAAGAAUCAAGGAAGUGGGGAGUGGGGAGAGAGAAAAGAGAGAGAGAGAAAAAGCAAGUGCACAAAGCCACCAUUCUGGGAACCCUACAAUGGGAGUUGUAACAGAUGGAGACAGCCCUUCAGAAGCCUGGCCAUGUCAGUGUUGAUAACUCUGGUCAUCACUGUGGUUCUGAAGGGGACAACACCAAAUCUAGUGGUGAUGAGAAGAGCCAAGGGAUCCCAAGUGCAUGGCAGAAGCCACUAAAGGCAAUCAGGCUGGGGCAUGAGAUCGCCUGGACCUCCAGAGGACUGUGGUGGUCAAAAGGAGACUGUGUUGGUCAAAAGCUCCCUUGGACCUGCUGAGAAGAGAGGAGGUUUGGAGGUUUUGCAUUACUGGGAUUCACCUGGUGGGACCUAGAGCCAGUGCUUUUUCUGCUACCAUUUAUGUGGCAGGGGGAGGGUUAGCCACAGCCCUCGGUUGUUUAUGGGAAGGCUUGUCUAGCCUGGUGAAUUGAGGGUCAGGCAGGGUAUACAGUCCCUGGACACAUACAGGCAUCUUCACUCUUUCAGGUUAAACUUUUUGCCCGCUGGGCAUUCAGGGAUAAGCAGGGGGCACUCUCCAUUUAACACCUUAAUCCCAAUGCCCUGAGGCCACCAUCAAGUCAAAUGCCCCUGUAAUCUGCAGGUUUGUAGGCACUGUUCCUGGGCCAGGCUUCCUUAAUGGGUGUCAGUUCAAGGUAAGGAGAAGAGGCCCUUAGCACCAGAAGGCGUUGAAUAGUCGUUGCACUGCUCCAUAGUUUGAUCCAGGGUCUUUCAAAGGUCCCUGGAAGGGAAAAGGGGUUCUGGAGAGAGAGGAGGACUGUUUUACACCUGUUUCUCACUUUAGCAUCUGAAUUCUGUCAACACACCUGGAAUCUUUGCUCCUUCUAGGAUUCUUUAAAAGUCAUCAGGGCCCUCAGUCUACAGCCAUACCUCCCUGAAUGCUCCUGAUCUCAGAAGCUAAGCAGUCAGGUGUGGUUAGUACACAGAUGGGAGACCACCUGGGAAUACCUGGUGUUUUAGGCUGAAAAAAAGAAGUCAUUAGAAUCUAGGUGGUCAAAGAAAGACAAACUGUGAGUAUUAGAACAAGCCUAGCUUAAGGUAGAACUGUAAAGGUGUCCAAGAUUUUUUUACUCCUCUGUUCUUCUUUUUUCUUUUUUUGAGACAAAGUCUCGCUUUGUCACCCAGGCUACAGUGUAGUGGCAUGAUUUUGGCUUACUGCAGCCUUGACCUCCUGGGCUCAAGCCAUC